rnacentral:rRNA from 1 species
UACGAAGGGGGCUAGCGUUGUUCGGAAUCACUGGGCGUAAAGGGCGUGUAGGCGGUUGGAUAAGUGGGAUGUGAAAUGCCCCGGCUCACCCGGGGACCGGCAUCCCAAACUGUCCGGCUUGAGUAUGGGAGAGGAUGUGGGAAUUCCUGGUGUAGCGGUGAAAUGCGUAGAUAUCAGGAGGAACACCGGUGGCGAAGGCGCUCAUCUGGCCCAAUACUGACGCUGAUGCGCGAAAGCUAGGGGAGCAAACGGG